GACGAACGCUGGCGGCGUGCUUAACACAUGCAAGUCGAACGGAAAGGCCCUGCUUUUGUGGGGUGCUCGAGUGGCGAACGGGUGAGUAACACGUGAGUAACCUGCCCUUGACUUUGGGAUAACUUCAGGAAACUUGGGCUAAUACCGGAUAGGAGCUCCUGCUGCAUGGUGGGGGUUGGAAAGUUUCGGCGGUUGGGGAUGGACUCGCGGCUUAUCAGCUUGUUGGUGGGGUAGUGGCUUACCAAGGCUUUGACGGGUAGCCGGCCUGAGAGGGUGACCGGCCACAUUGGGACUGAGAUACGGCCCAGACUCCUACGGGAGGCAGCAGUGGGGAAUAUUGCACAAUGGGCGGAAGCCUGAUGCAGCAACGCCGCGUGCGGGAUGACGGCCUUCGGGUUGUAAACCGCUUUCGCCUGUGACGAAGCGUGAGUGACGGUAAUGGGCAAAGAAGCACCGGCUAACUACGUG
rnacentral:rRNA from 1 species